UCCCUGAUAGCUCAGUUGGUAAAGAAUCUGCCUGCAAUGCAGAAGACGCCAGUUCGAUUCCUGGGUCAGGAA
rnacentral:tRNA from 1 species